GACGAACGCUGGCGGCGUGCUUAAUACAUGCAAGUCGAACGGAAAGACCCUGCUCUUGUGGGGUGCUCGAGUGGCGAACGGGUGUGUAACACGUGUGUAAACUGUCCUUGACUUUGGGAUAACUUUAGGGAACAGGGGCUAAUAUCGGAUAUGAGCUCCUGAUCCAUGGUGGUGGUUGGAAAGUUUCGGCGGUUUGGGAUGUUCUGGCGGGUUAUCAGCUUGUUGGGGGGGUAGGGGCUUACCAAGGUUUUGACGGGUAGCCGGCCUGGGAGGGGGACCGGCGACAUUGGGACUGAGGGACGGCCCAGAAGCCUACGGGAGGCAGUGGUGGGGAGUAUUGCACAAUGGGCGGAAGCGUGAGACAGCAGCGUCGCGUGCGGGAUGACGGCUUUCGGGGUGUAAACAGAUGUGGAAUGUGACGAAGAGUGAGUGACGGUAAUGGGUAAAGAAGCACCGGCUAACUACGUG
rnacentral:rRNA from 1 species